GCCGGCCGGAGCGAGAUGGCGGUGGCACCGUCCGGUGCCCGGCCUGGGCGCAGCGGUCGCCGGAGCCUGCGGGCGUCAGGCCGCGAGCCCCGGGGCGGCGGCGCGGAGCGGCAGCUGCCGCAACGCUGCACGGGCGAGUAGGCGGGAGAUGCCGAAGCUGCGCGGGGAAGCCUUCUGGAGGGAGACGCUGCGGAGCGCCCACUACGUGGUGGCGCCCAUGGUGGACCAGAGCGAGCUGGCCUGGAGGCUGCUGAGCCGCCGCCACGGCGCCCAGCUCUGCUACACACCAAUGCUGCACGCCCAGGUCUUCCUGAGGGACGCCAACUACCGCCGCGAGAACCUGUAUGGCGAGGCCUGUCCCGAGGACCGGCCGCUCAUCGUGCAGUUCUGUGCCAAUGAUCCUGAAGUGUUUGUCCAAGCAGCACUGUUGGCUCAGGAUUACUGUGAUGCCAUAGACCUGAAUUUGGGUUGCCCCCAAAUGAUUGCAAAGAGAGGUCACUACGGGGCAUUUCUGCAAGAGGAGUGGGAUCUUCUUCAGAGAAUGAUUUUACUGGCUAACGAGAAGCUCUCUGUUCCCAUCACAUGCAAAAUCCGCGUUUUCCCAGACAUUGACAAGACAGUGAAGUAUGCACAGAUGCUGGAGAAAGCUGGCUGCCAGCUGCUGACUGUGCAUGGCCGUACUAAAGAACAGAAAGGACCACUUGCUGGUGUGGCAUCCUGGGAGCACAUUCAAGCUGUGAGAAAAGCUGUAAACAUUCCUGUAUUUGCAAAUGGAAACAUCCAGUGUCUCAGCGAUGUGGAAGAAUGCAUCCGUAAGACAGGAGUACAUGGCGUCAUGAGUGCAGAAGGUAAUCUUCAUAACCCAGCUCUGUUUGAGGGCCGGAACCCGUUGGUGUGGGAGAUGGCUGAGGAGUAUCUGGAGAUCGUGCGGAAGUACCCGUGUCCGUUAUCUUACGUCAGGGCUCAUCUCUUCAAGCUGUGGCAUCACACGCUUCAAGUUUACCAGCAGCUGCGUGAAGAAUUAGCAAAAGUGAAGACUCUAGAGGGCAUCAUAGAUGUCAACAGGGAGCUGAAACUGCGAUGCCAGGAAGAAAUAGCUAAUCAGAAAGAAGGAGAAAAGCCAAAAGAAGGGUUGCCUUUUUUCCACUGGAUCUGUCAGCCAUACAUCAGGCCAGGGCCAAAGGAGAGGUGCAGGGAGAAUGGAGAUAGUGGAACUGAAAAAGGUGUACGAGGGAAACGUGCUCUGGAAGAAGAGGAAGAUGGAAAUUCUGAGCUUCUGUCAAAGAAUAAACAAAAAAAGAAGUUAAGAAAUCCAAAUAAAAGCUUUGAUCCAUCUUUAAAACCCAAAUAUGCAAAAUGUGAUCAAUGUGGAAACCCUAAGUUCAGCCUGCAGUGAGUGUCAGGCAGCACCUGCAGCUCUUCCUUCUGUUGUGUUUGGAUCUCUGCCUUUAUCAAAACAAGCAUAAGCACCUCCUCAUCCUCAGUCCUGCCUGUGCAGCAGAUUAACAUUGGCUUUUCCUGUUAGCAAUGCAAAACGAGGCAGCUGGUUUUACAGGUUCUGUAUUGAAAUUUCAAAUAUUUUGAUAUUUGCAGGGUUCAUUUUGCUUUUGCUUGUUUAGUUUUUCCUUGGGAAACAUAGCUGUUUGCUUGACAGGGUGGUGUUGCUGCGCUGUGAGCAGAGUGUAUUUAUUGCUGCUAAUAUACCUGUAAGUCAGGGUGUAAGAUACAAGUAAUUUUGUGUUCUAACUUAAAAAUUACCAUUUCACCUGCAACACAAGCAUGUGCUCUUGCUCUCUGUUGUAACACUGUUACUGCAGCACAGUAGUGGCAGCCAGGUGGGGCUCAAUUUGAAGCUGCAGCUACUGAAAAAUUAGGAUUUUUUUGUUGUGUUCAUUAUUGGGAAAGCAUUGAGCACUGGGCUGGCCUGCUUUCAAAGCCAUCCUGUUUCAUAGCUAAUCCAUGUGACAUCACUUGGUGCAUAAACCAGGAUUGUCUGCACCAGGGCUUAGACUUAUUUUUGUUGUGCACUUGCACUGCUGUAAUGGUGCAGGUAGCUCUUUAAAUCUUCUGACUAGACCUGUAAUUUUUUUUCCCUAAAUUAUGUGUUUCUGAGCCAUGUCAUGAAAUGGGGUGGGUGGGGUGUGGAGAAGGAGUUCAGCUAAAGCCUCCCUAAACAUUAAGGAUUUUCUGACUGGGGUGGAGGGAACCAUGCUAAACAACAUCAACCCUCUUUUCUAAAAUGUGUGUGAGCAAAGCACCCCAGAGACCCAGGCUUGUAUUGCCACAUCAUCAGUUAGCCAAGACUCAGCUGCUGCUGUCCCCUAAGGGUCACACAUUAUAUUUAAUAAAUAUGCAUGUGUAUUUUAAGAUGCAAAUAGGGAAGUGAUUCUGGUGGGAACAUAUUUUAGGCAUUGCUGCAGAUGGUAGCACUGUGUUUCAUGUUGCAGAGAACUAGAGCAAGCUGACCAGCACCAAGUGUGUUCAUGCUUGUUCCAGAGAGCUUAUGGCUUGUGCCUGCUUGUUGUGGGUAACUUAGGCUGCCCAACAGGCCAUGGGGGCUGCACAACUUGAAUGUGGAUUUCUUUUUGGUUGGUUGGGGGUUUUUUGUUCUUUAUGUGCAAACAGUGGAUAGCCCCCAAUAUGACAUCAACUCCAUCAUCUUCAUUAGGCUGAGAACAUGGGUUUUUUCCAAAGAUCUGAAAGUGCAGAGCUGUAUUGUUACUUAGUAUAGUAAACAGUAAUAAUUUUAUUUUCACUGACACAAGCUUCUUUAUACUGCCAUCCCAACCCAGGGCAAUAAAUGUGUGUUUAAUAUGUGCCGAGGAUGCUGUAAGAAAAGAGCAUUCAAGGAGGUAGCAGAUUGUCCAGGUCAUGGAUUACUUUUUAAGACC